UCCAUGACUUCAUUAGCUUGUGGAUUUGUACUUUCCAAACCCCUCUUGCUAUAUGAAUCACUCUAGUAACAACUGUUACUGCUUAGGCCUUCUGCAAUUUCUCUGAGCCAAGAUCAGCUAUUAUUAGCUUCAUUUUUCCAGGGGAGGAACAUCAAGCUGGAGAAGUAAGUUUGUUUUCAUGCAUAAUCUCCUGGGUGGAGCAGCAUUGCCAAGGCAGGAACACAGGUCUCCUGACUCCUGGUCCCACACCUGCCUCUGGGGCCACAUCUGCUGCUUCACGUCCUUUGGUUUACAACCUUCAGCACGGGGAAGCAAAUGAAUGGACAUGUCUCGAGACCUUCUGGAAGACGUCAUUUUCCUCCAACUGCCUGUUCUGAGAGUGGGCAGCUAUCCUGACUGAGCUCAGGUCACCAAGAAUGUCAUUUUCAGCCAAGGCGAUGGUAUGGCCAGAUGGGAUCCCUUGGGCAAUGGAGAAAUAAUUCCUUUUUCUGGAGCAUCUGAGUCCUGCAGAGAGGCAAAGAGCAUGGGUGACUGAGAUCACAUAGAAACUUGUCCUUUUAUUAACCAAAUAAAUGAGUAAGAAAGGCCA
rnacentral:lncRNA from 13 species